GAGCAAAUCAACCAGCACAUUUAAGCAGCCUUUUUAACCCUGAGACUUUCCAAGAUUUCUUCUUCACACAGGAAGUUUCUUUAUAUUGUCAGAUUUAGCACUUUGCUCAUGUAAUGAGAUCAGAGCUAGGAUCACUGCUGCACAGUAGAAAGACUUCCUUAAGACAUUUGUCCUUGAAACUGCACCAAACUCUUGGAAGAACCCAGAACCUUUAUCUUAAGCAAAACCAAAAUUAA
rnacentral:lncRNA from 1 species